rnacentral:lncRNA from 1 species
UUCUAUCUUGCUAGUAGACCCUCUCCAUUAACUCUCUCUCUUUCUGAUUGAGUGUAAGCUGCUAUAUGAAGGGAUCCACAAGACGAAUAAUUAAGGGGGACCUCUGAUCAACAGCCAGCAAGGAACUGAAUCCCUCAGACCCACAACUCACAAGAAACUGAAGCUGAAGCAGAUUCUUCCUCAGUCAAGCUUCAGGUGCCCAGCUGUAUUGGUAGAGGAGACCAACCACACCCUCCACAGCACAGCACCUGGAGAGGAACUGCUGCCAUGACCAUAGAGGACACCCUCUGGAUACAAUGCCAGACUUGAUGUGGGACUGACCAACCUAUGGACCCCAGGCACCACCACCCAGACCUGCUCAGCACCUGAAACAUUCACAGCCGUGGAGAGAGAACUGUUCACUGCUACCAUCCACACUUCUGGGCCCCUUCAGCAGCAGGGUGACAAGGAAGAGGGAAAUCGACUUGGAAAAGAGGGGACCUCUGACCCAAGAGUUCGGUCAAUGCAUAUGUUGGCAGCCAGCUGCACAUCGCACCAAAUAUGAACUUCAAAUAGAAGAAAGCCUCAUUUGGAAGAAAGCUCAUGCACAGACUGUAAAUAUUUCAGAGCAGAUUGUGUCUCUGUAGAUUAAUUUGAUUCACAUUGCUCAUCCCAGUCUGACGUAAGUCAUCACCUACAAGAACCAGACAAGGAAAAACAGAACAAACUUGAAAGAAAUCAGCUAUCAUAUCUCUAUAAAUGUAUUCUGCCUCUAUUUUUCAUUUUCUUUUAGUAAAGUACUUUAUAAGAAAAACAAUGAAGGGCAGGGAAUUAGAAUCUACUCAAGCAUCUGCUGUAUUCUAGACAUUUUAUGUCCAUCGUCUCCUUCACACACCUUGGCACUCCACAAUGCAGAGGUUACUAUCCCCAAUUUGUAGAUGGAGGAUGAGAGGCAUUGAGAGAUGAAGUGACUUUUCAGACUCAGUCAGUUGCUCUCUAAAGCCAAUGCUCUUUCCACUGUACCUAACAAUUUUGUUGUAUCAAUCUGUUUAACUACAACAUGAUAUUAUUUAAUGUGACUCAGUUCAUAUGCUAUUGGUCAGUAGGGAAUUGAUGUGAAUUUUGUUGGUCUUGUCAGCAAACAGUUUAUUUUUCCAGUAUGACAAUGUUGUGACAAGAUCAGAAGCCAGCUUUCUCACCAUUAAAUCAAAGUCUUAUCAAUAUAUGGAGACUUUUAUGGAAAGAAACCUGAAAUUACGCAGAAAUGCCUUCCGCAAGAAGUGGCUAGUAUGGUGGCUUCAAGAACAGUGACAUUUUUCAGUAUGUCCGUUGUUCUAAGACGUUAGUACAUCACAAUUACCUAGAAAACUUGUUAAAACACAGAAGUCUGGGCUCCCCCUCUUGGCCAACCCCCAUUCCCAGAGGGUUUCUGUUUCCAUGGGUCUGAAAUACCACCUAACGAUUGGCAUUUCUAACAAAUUUCUGCAUGAAGCUGCUGGUCUGAGGACCACACUUUGACAACCAGUGCACUACAUUAAGCUAUCUGGAGAAGCUGCAAAUGCAGAUGAAGAAGCUACAAAUUUUUCUAUGUCAACAAAAAUUGACUGAUGAGGGUGACCUUCGGAUCAUGUUUUUAAUGUUUAUGAAACUGGUCUCAUUAUCAGAAGUAAAUGGCUUCAAGAACUUCAGCCUGAGGAAGAAAACAUGAGUCCUAGGCAUAUCAGGCUACAACCAUGUUUGGAAUGAAUCUAGGUGCAAAUCUCAGUGGAGAAUUAACUGUACCAAUAUUUUAAUUAGGAUUACUAAUGUUUUGUUACUUCCUGAUUACAAGGUUCUAUAGGUUUUGAAUGAUCCACUGUAAUCCUGUUUCUUUUCCAUAAGUCGUGUAGUUUUUAGCAUGUAAUUAUGCAGACCAUAAGGUUUUUCAGGAAUACUAAUAUGGCAUUAGAUUAGAAAUGCUAUAUUAAAAAUUCUUAUUAAAUCUACUGAUAGUAACCAAAAAAUAGAAGAUUCAGAAGAACUAGCAAAUGUGGAGAGAACGGAUGAAAUGGAAGCAGUGUGAACCUAGUGAAUACUUGCCAAGCUGUAUCUCCCCUGAAUUUGUCAAAACAUCAUCUCCAGCAUCUGAGCUAGACCAACCCUCAGUGCUAACAUUGAUGUGAUUAAAGAGUCUGAACUGGGAGCAGAAUUCCUUCAGGUAUUUUGUUAAUAAAAUAAAGCUCUCCAUCUCUCCUUAAAUUAAACAAGCCUGCUCUCCUGGAUCAUGUUUUGAACAUAGUUCAUUUUACGAAAGGCUUCCCUUUGGGGCCCUUUAUUUUAAUUCUGGUUGUGCAAAUCAGCCCAUGUUCUGUUCAUGAGGGACACCUGUUUAUUCCCCGUGAAAACAAAUUCGUUGGAUGCACCCUGGGAGGCUACAAGGAGGGAAGUGAGAACGUGCAGAGCA